GGGGGCCAUAGGAGAAGGCAACAUCGUCGUGCCUCUUCUCUUUCUUCGUCUUCGCUCGUGGACUCGUACGAGUCUUCCUUUUUCCUCUCUUCACACCCCGCGACUUCGAGCUCCUCUAAUGGCGGAAGCGAAGCCCCAAGAGGAGACGGGGAAGAAGACGAAGGCGGAGGGACCAGUGGCGGAGGCGGCGGAGGGGGAGAAGGAUCGACCCGUCCGAGUCUACGCCGAUGGCAUCUACGAUCUCUUCCACUUCGGCCACGCCCGAUCCCUCGAGCAAGCGAAGAAGCUGUUUCCAAACACGUAUCUUCUUGUUGGAUGUUGCAAUGAUGAAUUGACACACAAAUUUAAAGGGAAGACUGUCAUGACUGAAUCUGAGCGAUAUGAAUCUCUUCGGCAUUGCAAAUGGGUUGAUGAAGUUAUUCCUGAUGCUCCUUGGGUUAUCACAAAAGAGUUCCUAGACAAGCACAAGAUUGACUAUGUAGCUCACGACUCACUCCCAUAUGCCGAUGCAAGUGGAGCUGGCAACGAUGUAUAUGAAUUUGUUAAAUCAAUUGGUAAGUUCAAGGAAACGAAACGCACUGAUGGGAUAUCGACAUCUGAUAUAAUAAUGCGGAUCGUCAAAGAUUACAACCAAUACGUAAUGCGCAACUUGGCCCGAGGCUACACUAGGAAGGAUCUUGGUGUCAGCUAUGUAAAGGAAAAACGGUUGAGAGUAAAUAUGGGUUUAAAGAACCUGCGUGACAAAGUGAAGCAGCAACAGGAAAAAGUGGGUGAGAAGUUGCACACAGUUGCAAAGCUUCACGAGGAGUGGGUCGAGAAUGCGGAUCGCUGGGUUGCCGGUUUUCUUGAGAAAUUCGAGGAGGGAUGCCAUUCAAUGGGAACGGCCAUCAAAGAGCGAAUCCAGGAGAGCCUCAAGAGGGGGCAAUCGAAAGAUUUCAGUUUGCUUCAGUACGAGGAGGAAUAGUGCAAAUUCGUGUUUUAUGUACGCCUGUAAAUCACAUAGCUGUGAGUUGAUUAUAGGAGAACGCCUCUGCGAAAAACAUGUACUUUUGUUAGCCGAAACUCCCUCAUAACUGUUGUGCACUUCAAAACCUACAUACUUAGUUGCUGGGUUUGUUGGAUUAUUUUCUUUGGAUUAUAGGUGAAUAUGUUUGGUUCUAUUAGACCUAUGCUUUUGUUUACACUGGAGCACAGGAUGAAUCAAGUUGGUGGUGAUAUCAAUCACAUGUAUUGGUCUGUGAUCGAAUCCAUCAUGCGAAAUGUUGGCUCAGGUGCAUUGAAUUUGGUAAAAGCUUCUCAGGUUCAGCGUACCUGGACGCAAUUCUAGUUCUGCGAAAGUCAGGUUCGCCAGAGUGCGACCUGUUUGCCAUUUACUGUAGUUUUGCAAGUGGGUCAUGACUCUUCUUUUCCGACGUGGUGUCGUCUCAAAGGACAUGUAUUUAAAAGUUUUGUUGACGUAGAAAGUUAAA